CGGCGCACGGGUGAGUAACGCGUAUGCAACUUACCUAUCAGAGGGGGAUAGCCCGGCUGAAAGUCGGAUUAAUACCCCAUAAAACAGGGGUCCCGCAUGGGAAUAUUUGUUAAAGAUUCAUCGCUGAUAGAUAGGCAUGCGUUCCAUUAGGCAGUUGGCGGGGUAACGGCCCACCAAACCGACGAUGGAUAGGGGUUCUGAGAGGAAGGUCCCCCACAUUGGUACUGAGACACGGACCAAACUCCUACGGGAGGCAGCAGUGAGGAAUAUUGGUCAAUGGCCGAGAGGCUGAACCAGCCAAGUCGCGUGAAGGAAGAAGGAUCUAUGGUUUGUAAACUUCUUUUAUAGGGGAAUAAAGUGGAGGACGUGUCCUUUUUUGUAUGUACCCUAUGAAUAAGCAUCGGCUAACUCCGUGCCAGCAGCCGCGGUAAUACGGAGGAUGCGAGCGUUAUCCGGAUUUAUUGGGUUUAAAGGGUGCGUAGGUGGUGAUUUAAGUCAGCG
rnacentral:rRNA from 1 species